GCAGCAGUGGGGAAUUUUGGACAAUGGGCGAAAGCCUGAUCCAGCCAUUCCGCGUGAGUGAAGAAGGCCUUCGGGUUGUAAAGCUCUUUCGCAAGGGAAGAAAACUUAUCCUCUAACAUAGGGUGAGGUUGACGGUACCUUGAUAAGAAGCACCGGCUAACUACGUGCCAGCAGCCGCGGUAAUACGUAGGGUGCGAGCGUUAAUCGGAAUUACUGGGCGUAAAGCGUGCGCAGGCGGUUUUGUAAGUCAGAUGUGAAAUCCCCGAGCUCAACUUGGGAACUGCGUCCGAAACUACAAGACUAGAAUAUGUCAGAGGGGGGUAGAAUUCCACGCGUACAGUGAAAUGCGUAGAGAUGUGGAGGAAUACCAAUGGCGAAGGCAGCCCCCUGGGAUAAUAUUGACGCUCAUGCACGAAAGCGUGGGGAGCAAACAGGAUUAGAUACCCUGGUAGUCCACGCCCUAAACGAUGUCUACUAGUUGUUGGGUGCAUUAGUACUCAGUAACCGAAGCUUACGCGUGAAGUUGACCGCCUGGGGAGUCCGGCCGCANGGUUNAACUCAAAGGAAUUGACGGGGAAUCGAAUU
rnacentral:rRNA from 1 species